CGUAUGGUGUCCGGCUUUGGAUCGGAUGGCGAUACGGCCCUAACGAGGU
rfam:Idiomarina planktonica strain CGMCC 1.12458 genome assembly, contig: Ga0171582_12